GUUAGGAAUAUUGGACAAUGGGCGCAAGACUGACCCAGCCAUGCCGCGUGCAGGAAGACGGCCCUCUGGGUUGUAAACUGCUUUUAUCUGGGAAGAAAAAGGCCAUGCGUGGCAAAUUGCCGGUACCAGAUGAAUAAGCACCGGCUAACUCCGUGCCAGCAGCCGCGGUAAUACGGAGGGUGCGAGCGUUGUCCGGAUUUAUUGGGUUUAAAGGGUGCGUAGGCGGCUGAUUAAGUCAGCGGUGAAAGACUUCGGCUUAACCGGAGCAGUGCCGUUGAUACUGGUUGGCUUGAGUGUCGGAGGGGUACAUGGAAUUGAUGGUGUAGCGGUGAAAUGCAUAGAUACCAUCAGGAACACCGAUAGCGAAGGCAUUGUACUGGCCGACAACUGACGCUGAUGCACGAAAGUGUGGGGAUCGAACAGGAUUAGAUACCCCGGUAGUCC
rnacentral:rRNA from 1 species